AUUGAACGCUGGCGGCAUGCCUUACACAUGCAAGUCGAACGGUAACGCGGGGGCAACCCUGGCGACGAGUGGCGAACGGGUGAGUAAUACAUCGGAACGUACCCAGUAGUGGGGGAUAGCUCGGCGAAAGCCGGAUUAAUACCGCAUACGACCUAUGGGUGAAAGCGGGGGAUCGCAAGACCUCGCGCUAUUGGAGCGGCCGAUGUCGGAUUAGCUAGUUGGUGAGGUAAAGGCNCACCAAGGCUACGAUCCGUAGCUGGUCUGAGAGGACGACCAGCCACACUGGGACUGAGACACGGCCCAGACUCCUACGGGAGGCAGCAGUGGGGAAUUUUGGACAAUGGGCGCAAGCCUGAUCCAGCCAUGCCGCGUGUGUGAAGAAGGCCCU
rnacentral:rRNA from 1 species